rnacentral:rRNA from 1 species
UACAGAGGGGGCAAGCGUUGUUCGGAAUUACUGGGCGUAAAGGGCGCGUAGGCGGCCUGUUAAGUCGAACGUGAAAUCCCCGGGCUCAACCCGGGAACUGCGUCCGAUACUGGCAGGCUUGAAUCCGGGAGAGGGAUGCGGAAUUCCAGGUGUAGCGGUGAAAUGCGUAGAUAUCUGGAGGAACACCGGUGGCGAAGGCGACUUUCUGGCUGCUAACUGACGCUGAGACGCGAAAGCUAGGGGAGCGAACGGG